CACAUUUUUAUUAUGAUUGAGUAAACAGCAUAAAAGAUUUGCUUUUUAAUUAAGAUUUAAGUCUUCCAAGUUAAAGAUAACUUGCGGAAGAUGAAUCAAGAAAACAAUGUUUAUAUAAGAAUAGUUUAAUUUUACAUAAUUUUCUUUGUAGAGAAAAUCAUCAACAUUUUAAAGAAAAAUUUUAUGAGCAAUGAAUGAUGCGUUAUAACAACCUGAAACAGUACAAUUUGGCUAAAUCUGGCGCCAUUAAUUAGCAAAUCAAACCAUCAGUCAAUAACUUUAAUGAGAAAUCAAUCCCAAUUGAUAUACCUUUAAUCAAUCAAGUACCUGGAAGCAAAAAUACAUCAUCAACGCUGAAAAGCACACUGGGAGGAAAUGCAACGUAUGUUUAAAGUAUUUUGAAAUGAACAGAGUUUGACAUCUCACAGAAAAUGGAAGAAAAAAAAAGGGAGUGGAAACUUCGACCUAUUGUUCAAAAAAAGGAUAAAGGUUUACUUUUUGAUAUUUGUUCCUGGAACAUAACACAUCAAAAAAUAUGGCUAUCAAUAUUACAAUCAAGGCAUCAAUUUGGUGUGAUAAAAUCCAAUAAACCGUUUUGCCAAUCUUUCCCAAAUCAUCUCAACAGAAAUUCUCCAUCACUAAAGAAAAUCGUCACUGCUAAUGGUCCUUUAAUGGCUUACAACAAGAUCAAGAACUCCUUCAAAAAACUGCAUUCAGGUUUAAAAUCAAAAUGAUAUCACAUAUGAAAUUUCAACGGCAGAGAGAAGAAAAAUGAGAUUUCUGUGUAAAAAGUAAAACAGAUGUUGGCUAUUUCUCCCAUUGUUUGAAAAACGUUGCUUCAGAAUGAAUUGGAAAAGAAUGUACGCAAAUUGCUACGUUCUAACUGUGUAUAUGCAUCAUGAUAGUAUUGAAAUGGAAUUUAUUCGUGCAAAAUUAGCGUUAAAAAGCGUUAUUACAAUAAAAUUUAACCGGAAAUAAUUUCAUUUCCAAACUUUCCAUAUUUAUAAUGGAUAUAAGGGUUUGGAAAAAAUAUCUACCUAUUUUCUCUACAGAGAACAGGCAUUUGUUUUGAAAUUCCUCCUAGGAAAAAAUAAUAGUUUUCAAGGAGAAACAAGCAACGGAAUAAAAAAUAUAAAAAAAUUCGCACAAAAUAAUAAUUUAGAAUAAAAACAGAUUCGCACAAAAAAAAAUGCUUAGUGUAUUACUCUGUAAAAUAGGAGGAUCUUAAAUUAUAAUAAAGACAAUUAAAUCUCCAUUUUUUUUCAUAAAUUCAAACCCAUGCAUUUAUUAUCCGAACUUCAGUUCCGUUAACGGAUUUUUUUUUUCUUUCUUUCUUCUAUCAAAACAUCUGGAAUUCACCUCAUUAAAUCUUUCUUAUUCCAACCCUAAGAUGAUACAAAUGCCACGGAUUUCACUCAUUAAUUCCCCUUUCACCAAGCGCAGUGAAAACACUCGUAAUGACUAAGUUUGAAUCGGAGAUAAAGCAGCAACCUAAUGAAUUCAGAGCUGAUGUCAGAUGGUCGUAAAAAAAUCUGUUUGAGCUCUUUAGGUAAUUUAUAUUCAUCAACAACAGUUCAUUUAUCAAAGUUACCAAACGCUUUUAGAAUAAGCGGAAUUAUAUUCAAAAUCUAUUCUCAACGGUAGUUACCACGCAAAUCAAUAUUUUGUUAUGAAGAGAAUAGUUCCAACGUCUUUGUUUCUUAUGAUAACAUCCUUUUUUUUUUUUUUUCGAAUGCAUGAGCAUUUAUAUGUGAGAAAGAACUGUAAAAUGCAAGAUCAACAUGUUUUCAUUCUUACACAUUAAGGUGAAUGCACUGGGGUGAAGCUUUUAAAUUAUCUUAAUGCAGAAAUAAGAUGAAGACUAAUACCAAGCAUAUAAUAUAGCAGAGCACAUGAAUCACGGAAAACAAGGUAGAAACUGUUAAUUUUGGAGUGAAAUUGUAAAAUAAAGUAUACAAAAAUGUUUUCAUCAAAUGUCAAGAUUCAUUCAUAAUAUAUUAAUCUAAUUUUAAAAAUAUUUUCACCCUAAAAAGUACUCUCAUCAGUGAUACGGCAAGUUUAUUUUUUUAACAAAGGUUAAUGAAUU